rnacentral:rRNA from 1 species
GGGGAAUAUUGGACAAUGGGCGAAAGCCUGAUGCAGCCAUGCCGCGUGUAUGAAGAAGGCCUUCGGGUUGUAAAGUACUUUCAGCGGGGAGGAAGGUGUUGUGGUUAAUAACCACAGCAAUUGACGUUACCCGCAGAAGAAGCACCGGCUAACUCCGUGCCAGCAGCCGCGGUAAUACGGAGGGUGCAAGCGUUAAUCGGAAUUACUGGGCGUAAAGCGUGCGCAGGCGGUCUUGUAAGACAGAGGUGAAAUCCCCGGGCUCAACCUGGGAACUGCCUUUGUGACUGCAAGGCUGGAGUGCGGCAGAGGGGGAUGGAAUUCCGCGUGUAGCAGUGAAAUGCGUAGAUAUGCGGAGGAACACCGAUGGCGAAGGCAAUCCCCUGGGCCUGCACUGACGCUCAUGCACGAAAGCGUGGGGAGCAAACA